rnacentral:lncRNA from 1 species
AGUUGUCCUUAGGGCUGGGGGAUAAAACGAUAAUGAUAUAUAUCAAAAAUUAAUUUCCCUCAAUAUCAAUAUAAAUAUGGUCAAUAUGCUCUUUGAUAGUCAGCAUUCUGUCAUGUUUUGGUAGACGAUACGAAAAGCCAAUAAAAAGGGGAGUUGCUCCGAGUCCGCACAGCACUGAACCAAUCAUGCUGAAUUACACCCAAGUAGCAAACAACUGCUUGGUAGCAGGCUGCAGCUACACGCAACCAUAGCACUUUAACACGACAAAACUUACUCAACUUACGACAAAACGUGGAAGAGACACAGAGACCACACAGAUGCAGCAACUUAUUGUAUUGCAAAAGACAUGCUACCAAAAAGCAAUGUUAAAUGUCAUUUAAGAGUAACAGGGAACAUUUAAGAUUGACAAGUGAUUUUUUUGAUAUAUUGUAAUAUAUAUCAAUAUUGGCUGAUAUGAAAAAAUAUAUCAUGAUAAACGUUUUCCUAUAUCGCCCUGCCAUAGUUAUCCUACUGCUGCUCUGAUUUAUUAUUUGUGCCAACCACUUCACCUUGGAUUGCCUUGGAAGCCCACACUGAUGUGAACUCUUAUCUCUUAGUGACACAGAUCAUGUUAUCACUCCUGACGCACUCUGAUGUCAGUGACAUCAGCUACUAUGUUGGCUGAAUGUGUCACAUGUGCCAAAUCGAUAGGACCGAAUGAAUUCCCAGCCAAAGUCAACAGCAGCGUGGAAGAUUUUUGCCAACAGGUGAGCUGGAACUAAGCAAACAUUCAGCCCACACAACAAAACAAGCUGAGACCCUGAUAGCUGUAAACAGUCAUUCUGAUGCAGCGUGACUACUAUAGUUUUGAGCAACUACAGAGCUAGUUUUUUUAAGUUGGUAAAGCAGGUGUCAUUAAGGCGAAGAAGGCAAGGUCCUUCACUGACUGGUUGCUACUACAGCUCCUCUCAGUGAUCUCCUCAUCUGUCACAUUCAGUGAAGACAACGACCUAAAAAACUAUUUAAAAGUUUAUUAACAAAAAUUCAUAAAUGUGACUCAAAGGUGAACAAAUUCAAGUUUUGUUACUCAAGGUCACAGUCACUGUGACCUCAUGCAUUCAGCUCUCAUGUGCAUGGUGGAGAGUCAUGUGAUUUAUCAUUAUUUAUAAAUCUGUCUGAGAGAUGGAUCCCAUCAGUGAUCAAGGAAAUUCUGCCCAAUCACCAACCACCUGUUCAUCCGUCUGUUUCUAGAAAGGACAACCAACAAUCACAUGCUCUGGAGUAAAAUACACAAAGAGAGAGCGAGAGAGAGAGAGAGAGUUGCCCUGGUAUCAUGUCUAUAAAUGACUCAGUACGACCUCUCCUGGUCAAUCUAUGCCUACUCACGUGUAUCCUGUUUUAGGCUGUAAAAUAUUUCCCAUACCAACUGCCCCUCUACCAAAGCUAAACUGUCACCACUAUUUUAUGCCUCAUCAUCAUUGUUAUCACCCAACUGUGUACUUGAUUCUAAUGGUCAAAUCCCUAUAACACUGGUAAUUGACCUUACAAAAUUGAGGAGUUGGAGACAUAAGGCAAAUGGUUUUACAUGUUGGUAAAUGCAUUUGCUCCACUUAAACUGGAUUUUUGGGGCUGACUUGACUUCAUUUUCAUCAUCACCAGGCAGCUUCGUUGAUGCUAUGAAACUUUUUACAGAUUCACACAUUGCAAGUUCACUGAUAUAGUAUUACAAUUAUUGUCCACAUACAGCGACAAGAUGCUGUCCUGCAAUCCAGGCAACAGCAGCAGAGCUGGUUGGUGCAUAUUGAAGUAGCUGAUAGCCACAAAGUAACUUUAACCACAAUAGGUAGUGAUAAGACCCAUAAUAAUCACAAAAUCAGUGCUCAUUAGCAUCAACAGCAUCAGUCGCAAAAGUUCACUGGAUAAAUGAAUAAGGAAAUUAGUCAUUCCAAGUGUUCCUAUACGUAUUUAGCUGUACAAAAUAAGAAACAAAUCGAUAAAAUAAUGUUUAAAUCAAUAUUUUGUGUCAAGUUGUUGAUGUCUUAAGCUGAUAAAAAACAUGUAAAAAGCAGGAUCAUGCUUUGAAAAAAGGGGAUAUGCAAGUCGUAACCUCCUAAGAGAAACCAUACAUUUGUCAUGGUGAGCGAACCAGGUGUUUCCUCCACUCUGCAUAGCUACCUGCUCAUUUACUCUUUACAUUUAUGGCCUUUUAUUGUUUGGAGUUUUUUCCACUUACUCCUAAAGUUAAGAUAGUUAUGUCUAACAGGCUGCAGUCUGUGCAUACUUAAUAGAUGCAUGUAUCCACAUGUCUUCAGGGUGUUGGAGGGUGUUUCUAUUUUAAAUUACAACACCUGCACACAUGCAACCACCUGUGUAUCUCUCUUCAAAUGAAAGAACAAUGUAACAAGCAAGAUUUAGCCUGUAAAGGGUGUUUCUAGGUCUGUGCCAACAAGGUACUGCUCAGUUUACACAUGUUCUUUAGUCAGCCUCUAGUUUAAAAUGCUCAAUUGUUACCAAACAGGAGCUCUCUGUUUAGGUUUGGAAAUAUAGUUGCCAUGGGAAAAAAACACACUACAGUGACUGAGCCAUAAUCUAGUCUACUCUAAAUACAGUUUAUUCACAAAUGGUGGCUGUUUACACUCACAAGUGCAUGUUUUAGCCAUCAUAACUUAAUCUGUUAAUGAGUCUGUUAAUCUAGAGGCCUGAAUUUAACACAUCUUAAAUCCUUGUUCUGAUUACACACACACACACACACACACACACAGUCUAAUCGGUGUGAACAGUUAUGCAGAGGUGUGUCCCAAACAGAAGCCUAUUGUA